GAAACUGGAUGUCUUGAGGAAGAGAUAGGAAACAGGAAUUCCCGGUGUAGCGUGGAAUGUGUAGAUAUCGGGAGGACACCAACGGCGAAGGCAAGUUUCUGGCUCUUACCUGACGUUCAGGAGCGAAAGCGUGGGAAGCAAACAGGAUAGAAUACCCUGGUAGUCCACGCCUUAAACGAUGGUUGCUAGCUGUUGGGAUAUAAAAUCUCGGUGCCGAAGUGAAGACGUUAAGCACCCCACCUGGGGAUAACGUUCGCAAGGCUGAAACUCAAAGGAAUUGCACGGGUCCCCCGCACAAGCGGGUGGAGCAUGUGUGUUUAAUCUCGUGCCAACGCGAGAGAACUCUCACCGUGGACUUAGACUAUGUAUAUGUAGAGCCCUGUGAAAACGCAGGGCCCCAUCGAGAGCUUUGCUCAAUAGGGCAUUAAACCCGGUUGAUGCAUGCCUGUCGUCAGCUCGUCCCGUGAGUUGUUGGGUUAAGUCCCGCAACGAGCACAACCCCUGUUGUUUGUUGCCAGCACAUAAUGGUGGGAACUCAAACAAGACUGCCAGGGAUAACCUGGAGGAAGGUGGGGAUGACGUCAAGUCAGCAUGUCCCUUACGUUCAGGGCGACAAACGUGCUACAGUGGCCGGUACAAAGGGCAGCGACCCCGUGAGGGUGAGCUAAUCUCAAAAAACCGGUCCCAGUUCGGAUUGUAGUCUG
rnacentral:rRNA from 1 species